rnacentral:rRNA from 1 species
GAUGAACGCUAGCUACAGGCUUAACACAUGCAAGUCGAGGGGCAGCAGGGAUUUAGCUUGCUAAAUCCGCUGGCGACCGGCGCACGGGUGCGUAACGCGUAUCCAACUUUCCCGUUACUCAGGGAUAGCCUUCCGAAAGGGAGAUUAAUACCUGAUGGUGUUUGAAGUUCGCAUGUACUUCAAACUAAAGAUUUAUCGGUAACGGAUAGGGAUGCGUGACAUUAGAUAGUAGGCGGGGUAACGGCCCACCUAGUCUACGAUGUCUAGGGGUUCUGAGAGGAAGGUCCCCCACACUGGAACUUGGACACGGUCAAGAGUCCUACGUGAGGCAUCAGUGAGGAAUAUUGGUUAAUGGUCGGAAGACUGAACCAGCCAAGUAGCGUGAAGGAUGAAGGUUCUAUGGAUUGUAAACUUCUUUUAUAUAGGAAUAAAACCUCCCACGUGUGGGAGCUUGUAUGUACUAUAUGAAUAAGCAUCGGCUAACUCCGUGCCAGCCGCCGCCGUAAUAC